AUGCCGGUGAAGUGCUUUUCUGAUAGAAACUGUUGGUGGUGCACACCUUACGAAAGUGCACCUAGAGGAGUCGAAAUAUUCUCACGAACUCUUGACAUAUACCAAUCUCUCUCUCUCUCUCUCUCUCUCUCUCUCUCUCUCUCUCUCUCUCUCUCUCUCUCUCUCUUUAUAACAAGGAUAAGAGAAUUUACAGAUUCUGUGUUGAUGUUAUUCCGUGUUAUGCCACCAGCGCCGCCUAGGUCAGACUUCAAGUGUCAGAAUUUCUUUUCAGAUCUUCGCAAAAAAAAAAUCUUUGCAGAAAGUUGGACCGUGAGCAUUUCUUGUGGGCAAACUUAG
rnacentral:rRNA from 1 species